rnacentral:rRNA from 1 species
UUMACAUGCAAGUCGAACGGUAACAGGAAGCAGCUUGCUGCUUCGCUGACGAGUGGCGGACGGGUGAGUAAUGUCUGGGAAACUGCCUGAUGGAGGGGGAUAACUACUGGAAACGGUAGCUAAUACCGCAUAACGUCGCAAGACCAAAGAGGGGGACCUUCGGGCCUCUUGCCAUCGGAUGUGCCCAGAUGGGAUUAGCUAGUAGGUGGGGUAACGGCUCACCUAGGCGACGAUCCCUAGCUGGUCUGAGAGGAUGACCAGCCACACUGGAACUGAGACACGGUCCAGACUCCUACGGGAGGCAGCAGUGGGGAAUAUUGCACAAUGGGCGCAAGCCUGAUGCAGCCAUGCCGCGUGUAUGAAGAAGGCCUUCGGGUUGUAAAGUACUUUCAGCGGGGAGGAAGGCGAUAAGGUUAAUAACCUUGUCGAUUGACGUUACCCGCAGAAGAAGCACCGGCUAACUCCGUGCCAGCAGCCGCGGUAAUACGGAGGGUGCAAGCGUUAAUCGGAAUUACUGGGCGUAAAGCGCACGCAGGCGGUCUGUCAAGUCGGAUGUGAAAUCCCCGGGCUCAACCUGGGAACUGCAUUCGAAACUGGCAGGCUAGAGUCUUGUAGAGGGGGGUAGAAUUCCAGGUGUAGCGGUGAAAUGCGUAGAGAUCUGGAGGAAUACCGGUGGCGAAGGCGGCCCCCUGGACAAAGACUGACGCUCAGGUG